rfam:Camelus ferus unplaced genomic scaffold scaffold2630, whole genome shotgun sequence.
GAGGGUAUAGCUCAGUGGUGGGGUGCAUACUUAGCAGGCACGAGGUCCUGGGUUCAAUCCCCAGUACCUCUG